GACGAACGCUGGCGGCGUGCUUAACACAUGCAAGUCGAACGGUGAAGCGCCUUCCUUUUUGGUGGGUGUGGAUGAGUGGCGAACGGGUGAGUAACACGUGAGUAACCUGCCCCCUUCUUCUGGAUAACCGCAUGAAAGUGUGGCUAAUACGGGAUAUUCUGGGUCUGUCGCAUGAUGGGUCUGGGAAAGAUAUUGUUUCGGUGGGGGAUGGGCUCGCGGCCUAUCAGCUUGUUGGUGGGGUGAUGGCCUACCAAGGCGGUGACGGGUAGCCGGCCUGAGAGGGUGGACGGUCACACUGGGACUGAGACACGGCCCAGACUCCUACGGGAGGCAGCAGUGGGGAAUAGUGCACAAUGGGCGCAAGCCUGAUGCAGCGACGCCGCGUGAGGGAUGGAGGCCUUCGGGUUGUGAACCUCUUCCGCCAGUGAAGCAGGCCUGCCUCGUUUGUGGGUGGGUUGACGGUAGCUGGAUAAGAAGCGCCGGCUAACUACGUG
rnacentral:rRNA from 1 species